UACGUAGGUGGCAAGCGUUGUCCGGAAUUAUUGGGCGUAAAGCGCUCGCAGGCGGUUUCUUACGUCUGUUGUGGAAGUCCACGGCUCAACCGUGGAGGGUCAUUGGAUACUGGGAGACUUGAGUGCAGAAGAGGAAAGUGGAAUUCCAUGUGUAGCGGUGAAAUGCGUAGAGAUAUGGAGGAACACCAGUGGCGAAGGCAACUUUCUGGUCUGUAACUGACACUGAGGCGCGAAAGCAUGGGGAGCGAACAGG
rnacentral:misc_RNA from 1 species